UCGUGACACUUCUAGAAAUCUGUCUGUACUUCUGGCUGAGAAUCCAAUGUGUGGGUGACCACUUCUAGAGAAAUCUGUCUGUCUUACUUCUGGUGAGAAUCCAAUGUGUGGGUGACCACUUGUAGAAAAUCUGCCGGUAUUUCUGGAGAGAUCACGUUCUUUCUAUAAAAACAAUAAUUAAUAUGGAUCAAGUAUAUUCAUUAUUAUUUUUAGACGUGUGGGGACUCCUUGUAGUCCUUUAAUAUCCUUGAAUUGGUACCCUUUAAGUGUGGCCACUAUUUUUAAACAUCAUUUAAACACCUUUUGGUGAGUGGGUUUUAGUUUCAAGCCACAAAUCGUCAACAUGUUAAAUUUGAUUAAAAAUAUAUUAUUAAAGCCCAAAUAAUUUGCAGAACAUUCCAUUUUGUAUUGGUUCUUAAACUAGAAAGUCCUUUUUGCUUUGGAGUCAUUUUUCUAUCAACACCUGAAAUCAAAUCUUGUGUCCUUCAAUGUUUCUGUAAAUUACCCGUUAUCAACAGUAUCUAAUAAAAUAGUUGUUUUUAUUUAUUUUUAGGAAUAUUGGUUUGAUAUUAGAGAACUGUAUUUUUACGAUGGGUUUUCUUUCAAAAGCAGCGUCUGUUUUUCAAUCUUUGGAGUGACACAGAACCGGGUCCGUCCCAGAGGAGCUGGAGUUGUUGCCUUCCCUGGUCUACAGUGUUGUCAGAAUGUUAUUUUAGCAACGCCCAUAUAUGUAUGUCCGUACGUGUUGUCAGAAUGUUUAUUUUAGGAACGCCCAUAUAUGUAUGUCCGUACAGUGUUGUCAGAAUGUUUAUUUUAGGACGCCCAUAUAUGUAUGUCCGUACAGUGUUGUCAGAAUGUUUAUUUUGGAACGCCCAUAUAUGUAUGUCCCUACAGUGUUGUCAGAAUGUUUAUUUUAGGAACGCCCAUAUAUGUAUGUCCCUACAGUGUUGUCAGAAUGUUUAUUUUAGGAACGCCCAUAUAUGUAUGUCCAUACCGUUUGUAAACACAAAUGUAUUUUUUAAAAGAUGGCUGUUCUGGACAAGACCACAAAAAACAAGACAUUGGUGCAUUCUUACUGGGGUGUAGCCUACCAUGUCCUGCAAUGGAAUUUUAUGAAUGCUCAUGUGGUAGGCCCACGUUUGUAAAACAGGCUGUUGCAUUGGAUUUAUUAGUCCCGUUCCUGUUGACUAAUCAAUUUGGAUACAAAACUUGAAACCGCUGACUGUGACAUUUUAUACUACUGGACAGCUGUUGUGAUUAGCCUGGUCGGCUGACCGUGACAUUUUAUACUACUGGACAGCUGUUGUGAGUAGCCUGGUCGGCUUGACCGUGACAUUUUAUACUACUGGACAGCUGUUGUGAGUAGCUGGUGGCCUGACCGUGACAUUUUUUAUACUACCGGACAGCUGUUGUGGUAGCCUGGUCGGCUGACCGUGACAUUUUAUACUACUGGACAGGCUGUUGUGAGUAGCCUGGUCGGCUGACCGUGACUUUUAAACUACUGGACAGCCGUUGUGAGUGGCCUGGUCGGCCAUUUUACUUUUUUGACCUGUCCGUUUUUAGAAUAUGUUGUUUGUUAUUGUCAGCAGUUUUUUAUUUUUUUUUAUUUGAUUGAGUGUGAUUUAGGUCAGGCUAUUUGAUCAGAGAAACCUGCAUGAUGUAAAAAAAGUUUUCUGGCUCAUUACAUUGUCAUACAUUUUUAUCUCUGCUAUAGAAGAGGCCACAUCCUCUUUCUACCAGAUGCUAUAUCUGACGGAAUGUAGCACUGCAUCUCUCCAACGGCACCCUGGAGAGGCAUGCUGGGAAUGGACUAGAUAAAUAUUUGGAGUCCCUGCCUUUGACUAAGUGGGCACUUCUUAUCACAGGGCGGCGUCAGCGCUCACCUAAAAAGCCCAUAUGCCACUGGUUGAGAGAAGUUGUUGGAGGUGUGUCUUGUUCAGUUUAGCUCAGAAAAUGCCACUCUCAUCAAUCUGCUGCCAUACACCUCAUCCUGCCUAAUGAGAGGUCCUGGUCUCACCUCAUCCUGCCCAAUGAGAGGACCUGGUCUCACCUCAUCCUGCCUAAUGAGAGGCUCUGGUCCCACCUCAUCCUGCCUAAUGAGAGGCCCUGGUCUCACCUCAUCCUGCCUAAUGAGAGGACAGGUUCUGGGUCUCACCUCAUCCUGCCUAAUGAGAGGACCAGCCCCGGUCUCACAUCAUCCCUCCUAAUGAGAGGACAGGUUCUGGGUCUCACCUCAUCCUGCCUAAUGAGAGGACCAGCCCCGGUCUCACCUCAUCCCUCCUAAUGAGAGGAACGUGCACAGAACACUGUUCUGUUGAGUUUUAUAAAAAACUACAUUGUGACAUUGUGAACUAUUGACAUGACUUACUUAGUCCUUUAGGUUCUUAUGUGGAACAUAGGGCUUCCAGGAGACAGAGCCACUGCUGCUCUUCUGACUUUUGGGGAGGGGUUUUCAUGACAGGACAUUCAUUGGAAUCAAAAAUCCUUGUGAACAAAAAAUGRUCAUUUAUAWGUUGACAUGAUUGAUAUCUCUUGAUGAAAUAUCUCUAAAGAUCUCAGUCGUUGUCUACGGCCGUUUUUUGAGAAGUUAUAUUUCUAUAUUAUUAUCAAUGAGUAAAUCAGUGAAAUACUUGUAAUAAGCUAAUCACAUUUCCAAGGCAGGAAGGCAAUGAAUGCAGAGCAGUAAUCUACAGCAGUGGUCACCAACCUUUUUUCUGAGUCAAGAUCACUUUCUUGAGUAAAAACGCAAGCCGAUGAUCUACCGCUGAGAUUUAUUUUAGAAACAUUACUUUAAAAAACAUAAGUCUAUGCAACAUUAACCAAUUAUAAACAGUUCUGUAGCAAUGAGGUUUGUGCAGUAGGCUAUAGGCCCAGUACAUUAUCACUGCAUAUUGGCUAAGCUUCAAUUGCCCUGCUAAUGUUGUUCUCAGACCAUUAAGAAAUUACAUUUCAACAUGUUAGCUACAGUAUAUGAUCACACUGGUAAUAGAUUAAUUGUUGUAUUGCUUGUGAGGCACAGCUGAGUGAGGAUAAUAAUUAGCUUCUUUUUGUUUUCUGGACUGAUGACCUGGAUCUGAUGGUCAGUCUGAGGGGAGGGAGAGAGCAGUGGUGAGGCUGUCUAUCACCUGACUCACCGUCCCUCCUCUCUCCCACCCUCCACUGAAAAUAUGCCCCAACAGGGUCCAGCUGUGACAUCAUCUCUCAGAGCAGUGCAUCUCUCAGGGUUUCUAUGGUGCCACCUACUGUGACAUCAUCUCUCAGGGUUUCUAUGGAGCCACCUACUGUGACAUCAUCUCUCAGGGUUGCAAUGCGGCCACCUACGGACAUCAUUCUUAAUAAUUACA
rnacentral:lncRNA from 1 species